AUUGAACGCUGGCGGCAGGCCUAACACAUGCAAGUCGAGCGAGCGGCAGACGGGUGAGUAAUGUAUGGGGACUGCCCGAUAGAGGGGGAUACCUACUGGCAACGGUGGCUAAUACCGCAUACUAUCGGAUAACCCAUAUGGGAUUAGCUAGUAGGUGGGGUAAAGGCUGACCUAGGCGACGAUCUCUAGCUGGUCUGAGAGGAUGAUGAGGCACACGGGGAGUGAGAAACGGCCCAGACUGCUGCGGAGGCAGCAGUGGGGAAUAGUGCACAAUGGGCGCAAGCGUGAUGCAGCCAUGACGCGUGUAUGAAGAAGGCCUUAGGGUUGUAAAGUACUUUCAGCGGGGAGGCGUUACCCGCAGAAGAGGCACCGGCUAACUCCGUGCCAGCAGCCGCGGUAAUAC
rnacentral:rRNA from 1 species